GGAAGCAAACUAUUUUAUUACAGAAAGUUUAGCAGAAGUUUGGGGAUUUGGAUGGUGUCAUGGACUGUGGUUUUGUAGCAUUUGAAUAGCAGAAUGAUUUAAAAGGAAAGAGAGAAUGCUCUGUAGGGAAUUUGAGGUGCUAGCAGAACUUCUAAUCAAAGGUAUUCUGAAGUGUUGACUAAGUAACUUAAUUAACCAUAACUAAAAGAGGCAGAUUAUAGGAAAAGAUGAAUGUGUGCAUCAACCCCUCAAAUGCAUGAAUAU
rnacentral:lncRNA from 1 species